rnacentral:rRNA from 1 species
CAUGCAAGUCGAACGCGAAAGUCCCUUCGGGGGAUGAGUAGAGUGGCGAACGGGUGAGUAACACGUGAGUAACAACCCUCCGGUGGGGGACAAGCGCGGGAAACCGGGGCUAAUACCGCAUACGCCGGGAGAAUCGCAUGUUCUCCNCGAGAAAGCGGGCCUCUACUUGUAAGCUCGUGCCGGAGGACGAGCUCGCGGCCGAUUAGCUAGUUGGCGGUGUAACGGCCCACCAAGGCGAUGAUCGGUAGCUGGUUUGAGAGGAUGGUCAGCCACACUGGGAUUGAGAUACGGCCCAGACUCCUACGGGAGUGCAGCAGUCUAGAAGCUUCGGCAAUGGGGGCAACCCUGACCGAGCGACGCCGCGUGCGGGAUGACGGCCUUCGGGUUGUAAACCGCUUUCGACAGGGAAGAAGGACUUUCGGGUUAAUACCCCGGGAGUUUGACGGUACCUGGAGAAGAAGCCUCGGCUAAUUCCGUGCCAGCAGCCGCGGUAAUACGGGGGAGGCAAGCGUCAAUCGGAUUUAUUUGGGCGUAAAGGGCGUGGAGGCCGGUUUCUUAAGUCGGGUGUUACAGACCACGGCUCACCCGUGGGGCUGCGCUCGAUACUGAGAGGCUUGAGU